rnacentral:rRNA from 1 species
GUAUCUAAUACCGCAUAAUGUCGCAAGACCAAAGAGGGGGACCUUCGGGCCUCUUGCCAUCAGAUGUGCCCAUAUGGGAUUAUCUUGUGGGGGGGGUAACGGCUCACCUGGGCGACUAUCCCUAUCUGGUCUGAGAGGAUGACCACCCACUCUGGAUCUGACACACGGCCCACACUCCUACGGGAGGCAGCAGGGGGGAAUAUUGCACAGUGGGCGCAACCCUGAUGCACCCGUGCCGCGUGUAUGAAAAGGGUCUUCGGGUUGUAAAGUACUUUCAGCGGGGAAGAGGGGAGUAGAGUUAAUACCUUUGCUCAUUGACGUUACCCGCAAAAAAAGCACCGGCUAUCUCCGUGCCAGCACCCGCGGUAAUACGGGGGGUGCAAGCGUUAAUCGGAAUUACUGGGCGUAAAGCGCACGCGGGCGGUGUGUUAAGUCAUAUGUGAAAUCCCCGGGCUCACCCUGGGAACUGCAUCUGAUACUGGCGAGCUUGAGUCUCGUAGAGGGGGGUAAAAUUCCGGGUGUAGCGGAGAAAUGCGUAGAGAUCUGGAAGAAUACCGGUGGAGAACGCGGCCCCCUGGACAAACACUGACGCUCGUGUGCGAAAGCGUGGAGAGCAAACAAGAUUAUAUACUCUGGUAGUCCACGCUGUACACUAUGUCCACUUGGAGGUUGUGCUCUUGAAGAGUGUCUUCCAGAUCUCACGCGUUAA